rnacentral:rRNA from 1 species
GACGAACGCUGGCGGCGUGCUUAACACAUGCAAGUCGAACGGAAAGGCCCUGCUUUUGUGGGGUGCUCGAGUGGCGAACGGGUGAGUAACACGUGAGUAACCUGCCCUUGACUUUGGGAUAACUUCAGGAAACUGGGGCUAAUACCGGAUAGGAGCUCCUGCUGCAUGGUGGGGGUUGGAAAGUUUCGGCGGUUGGGGAUGGCCUCGCGGCUUAUCAGCUUGUUGGUGGGGUAGUGGCUUACCAAGGCUUUGACGGGUAGCCGGCCUGCGAGGGUGACCGGCCACAUUGGGACUGAGAUACGGCCCAGACUCCUACGGGAGGCAGCAGUGGGGAAUAUUGCACAAUGGGCGGAAGCCUGAUGCAGCAACGCCGCGUGCGGGAUGACGGCCUUCGGGUUGUAAACCGCUUUCGCCUGUGACGAAGCGUGAGUGACGGUAAUGGGUAAAGAAGCACCGGCUAACUACGUG